rnacentral:rRNA from 1 species
GAUGUUAAUAACUUGUUUAAAAUGAGAAACUAAGUAGAAGUAAGAAAAAUAAUUUUUGUUUACAAAUAAUUAGUAGUUUUUAAUGAAAAAGGAAUAAAAACUAAAGAGAAAAGUACUGUGAAGGAAAGUUUAUUAAAAUUUAAGAUAGUAGAAGUAUAAUUUUGUGUCUUGUGUAUCAGAAAAGAUUUAAAUGAUUUAUGUAAAUAAAUAUCUCGAAAUAAAAUAUAGUGAUUUUUAUAAAAUUUUCUUUUUAGAAAAAAAGAAUUUAAUGUAAAAUUAAAAGUGAAAUGCUAGUUGAGUUUUAUGAUAUCUAGUUUUUUUAGAAAAAAAUUUAAUUUGAUUUUUAUAAAAAAGUUUUGUAAAAUUAAAUGGUAGGAGGGAAUAGCUUCUUAUGGAAAAAAGUAUAAAAUAGUUGGGUAAAAUUUAAAUUAUAAAUUAGGCUUAGAAGUAGCCAUAUUAAAAAAGUGUUUUAAUUAAAUUAUAAUUGUUUAGAAUAUUUAUAGCAGCUUUUAAAAAUAUAAAAAGAUUGGUUUAAAUAAAUAAAAAUAAGAUAUAAUGAUUUUAUUAGUAAAAUUUAUUGAGAAAUAAGAAUAUUAAAAUAAUUAGGAGAGUUUAGGAAAUUAAAUAUUAAUAUAAAGGAAUUCGGCAAAAAUUUUCUUUGCCUGUUUAUCAAAAACAUGUCUUUUUGAAAGUAAAAAAAGUCAAGCCUGCCCACUGAGUUGUUUAAGGGCCGCGGUAUUUUGACCGUGCGAAGGUAGCGUAAUCAUUAGGUUUUUAAUUGAAAUCUUGUAUGAAUGGUUAGACAAGAGAAAAUCUGUCUCUUUAUUAAAAAUUGAAUUUAACUUUUAAGUGAAAAGGCUUAAAUAAAUUAAAGGGACGAUAAGACCCUAUAAAGCUUAAUAUAAAAUAUUAUUUAGUCGAACUUUGAGUAAAGAUUUUAGAGUAUGUUUUAUUUUAUUGGGGUGAUAAAAGUAAAAUGUUUAUUAACUGCUUUCGUGAGAAAACAAUUAUAAUUGGAAUAAAUUUAUAAAAGAUCCUGAGUAGAGAUUAAAAGUUUAAGUUACUUUAGGGAUAACAGCGUUAUUUUUUUUGAGAGUACAUAUCGAAAAAAGAGUUUGCGACCUCGAUGUUGAAUUAAAAUUUCUU